GGGACGCAUACAAGGUCCGGUGGAACGCAAGCCAGACGGACCCGCGAUAAUCUAUACCAGUAAUUGUGUUCACAUGCUGGUGCCAACAACGAGAUCUUUUGGAUAAUUCCACCACCCUUUCCACCAAUGAACGUUAUCCGGAGUUCAGCUGCAACUGAUUGAUCUUCAAUCAACUCCAUCUGAAAUAUGUAUAGAAUGGGACUUGGGGGGGGGGGAGAGGGAAUCGUUUAUAUGCAUGUUCUUUUCAUGUACUACUGUUCAUUUUGUUUUUGAUAAAGUCCACUGAUCUUAC